CCCUGCAGCCCAUGACUGGAUACUCACUGAAACUAAGCAGUUUUAGCCUGGUCAGUACCUGGAUGGGAGACCACAUGGGAAAACCAGGUUGCUGUUGGAA
rnacentral:rRNA from 1 species